rnacentral:rRNA from 1 species
UAACACAUGCAAGUCGAGCGGAAACGACUUAACUGAACCUUCGGGGAACGUUAAGGGCGUCGAGCGGCGGACGGGUGAGUAAUGCCUGGGAAUAUGCCUUGAUGUGGGGGAUAACCAUUGGAAACGAUGGCUAAUACCGCAUAAUCUCUUCGGAGCAAAGAGGGGGACCUUCGGGCCUCUCGCGUCAAGAUUAGCCCAGGUGGGAUUAGCUAGUUGGUGAGGUAAUGGCUCACCAAGGCGACGAUCCCUAGCUGGUCUGAGAGGAUGAUCAGCCACACUGGAACUGAGACACGGUCCAGACUCCUACGGGAGGCAGCAGUGGGGAAUAUUGCACAAUGGGCGCAAGCCUGAUGCAGCCAUGCCGCGUGUGUGAAGAAGGCCUUCGGGUUGUAAAGCACUUUCAGUCGUGAGGAAGGCGGCGUCGUUAAUAGCGGCGUUGUUUGACGUUAGCGACAGAAGAAGCACCGGCUAACUCCGUGCCAGCAGCCGCGGUAAUACGGAGGGUGCGAGCGUUAAUCGGAAUUACUGGGCGUAAAGCGCAUGCAGGUGGUUAGUUAAGUCAGAUGUGAAAGCCCGGGGCUCAACCUCGGAACCGCAUUUGAAACUGGCUGGCUAGAGUACUGUAGAGGGGGGUAGAAUUUCAGGUGUAGCGGUGAAAUGCGUAGAGAUCUGAAGGAAUACCAGUGGCGAAGGCGGCCCCCUGGACAGAUACUGACACUCAGAUGCGAAAGCGUGGGGAGCAAACAGGAUUAGAUACCCUGGUAGUCCACGCCGUAAACGAUGUCUACUUGGAGGUUGUGGCCUUGAGCCGUGGCUUUCGGAGCUAACGCGUUAAGUAGACCGCC